UUGCGUGGUUUUGAUCCUUACAUAAAUAUAACUGUAUUAGUUUGUUCUUGCACUUAACUGUAUUGGUUCGUUCUUGCAUUGCUAUAAAGAACUACCUAAGACUGGGUAAUUUAUAAAGAAAAGAGGUGUAAUUGACUCACAUUGUAAUUGUUACAUGUUUUUCUGGGGAGAAACUUUGAGACUAUGCAAUAUAAUGUUUCUCACUAAACUUUCAUUUUCUAAUUUUAAUACGUUUUGAUGUUUUUUGCUUGCAACAAUUAUUACUGUGGUGGUUUUAAAUUUCAGUUUGGUAAAUAUUUUAAAUAUUGGUGAAUUUAAAUUUUUCUCAUUCUUUUUUCAUGUAUUAAGAUAAAUUUUACUGUAAACAAGAACUGUCUCUUCUCAUAAAUUUAUUUGUAUUGGUAUAGACCUUUUUUUUUUUUUUUGAGACAGAGUCUCACUCUGUUGCCCCAGGCUGGAGUGCAAUGGCGCAAUCUCGGCUCACUGCAACCUCCGCCUCC
rnacentral:lncRNA from 1 species